AUAUAUAUAUAUCACCUUUCAGUAAGUAUUUGGUAAAUCAUUUAUCUGCCAGAACAGCGCUGGGAGCAGACACCAAACUCUCCCAAACCAAGAGCCCCGCCACGAGGUGAGCCUCCCGCCCCGCGAGCUCGCAGCUCCUCUCCCAGCUGGGCUCCAGGACGCCUGCCUGGGAUCAGGGCCCUUCUCCUGAGGUAACAACCUGCCCUCGAGAGCUCCCAGCCGGGAUAAACACCGCACACAUCCUUCCGAACUGCCCUGGCUGCGGACGUGCACUCAGUGCAGGGGAGGAGGCUGAGCCGCCUCCACACAGCCCUGGCUCUCUCCCCAGGGCGAGCAGAUUCAUAAUGUGGUAUCCGAAGUCCAUGAGCACCAUCCUGUGGCUGCAGCUAGUCAGAGUAUUCUGAGAACAGUAAAAGGUCCUGAGGAUCCCAGUGGCUGCAUGCUGAGACUUCAUCGACCGUCUCGAGAGAGUGCUGAAUCUGGUGGGCAGGUCCUGGGACACUGCCAGCAUGGAGCAAGCCUUGGCUGCCUGCCUCUCCUCAGCCUUGCCAAGCUGCCCUGCAGAUGUACAUCCACACCCCUUGAUUUUCCUGCUGGGAGAAUCGCCCGCUGGCCAAACCAAAGCCCCGCUCCCUCGCAGGAGCUGCCUGCACCAGGGCUGGACAGCUGAGCCGGUGUUGUUCAGGAGCUGGGAUGAGGAUCACUGCAGGAUGCUUCUACGGGAUGUUGGAGACUGGCUGCAUGCACGGGUGUGGAAUUGCACAAUUACCUUAAAGCCAAGUAUUAAAUAAAAGCAUUGCAUACCUAUCACUAA